ACUUAUGGUGGACAAUGGCAGGGAGGCUUUACGCCUACCGGUUCUCUUUGUCGGUCUGUCAACCCUGCCAUUUGUCUGCCGCCAUC
rnacentral:antisense_RNA from 1 species